rnacentral:rRNA from 1 species
UUGGUGGGGUAAAGGCCUACCAAGGCGACGAUCUAUAGCUGGUCUGAGAGGACGAUCAGCCACACUGGGACUGAGACACGGCCCAGACUCCUACGGGAGGCAGCAGUGGGGAAUAUUGGACAAUGGGCGCAAGCCUGAUCCAGCAAUACCGCGUGUGUGAAGAAGGCCUUCGGGUUGUAAAGCACUUUCAAUUGGGAGGAAAACCUACCGGUCAAUACCCGGUAGCUUGACAUUACCUUUAGAAGAAGCACCGGCUAACUCC